AACGAACGCUGGCGGCAGGCCUAACACAUGCAAGUCGAAGGAGAAGCCAUCUUCGGAUGGUGGAAACUGGCGCACGGGUGAGUAACGCGUGGGCACCUGCCCUGGGGUGGGGGAUAACCGCUGGAAACGGCGGCUAAUACCGCAUACGCCUUACGAGGGAAAGAUUUAUCGCCCUGGGAGGGGCCCGCGUUGGAUUAGCUUGUUGGUGGGUAACGGCCCACCAAGGCGACGAUCCAUAGCUGGUCUGAGAGGAUGAUCAGCCACACUGGGACUGAGACACGGCCCAGACUCCUACGGGAGGCAGCAGUGGGGAAUAUUGGACAAUGGGGGCAACCCUGAUCCAGCCAUGCCGCGUGCGUGAAGAAGGCCUUAGGGUUGUAAAGCGCUUUCACCGGUGACGAUGAUGACGGUAGCCGGAGAAGAAGCCCCGGCUAACUCCGUG
rnacentral:rRNA from 1 species